rnacentral:tRNA from 1 species
GGUUGUAUGGUGUAAUGGUUAGCACUCUGGACUUUGAAUCCAGCGAUCUGAGUUCAAAUCUCGGUAGGACCA